GAUGAACGCUGACAGAAUGCUUAACACAUGCAAGUCGAUGGGGAAGUGGUGCUUGCACCAUGGCAACCAUGGCGGACGGGUGAGUAACGCGUAAGGGACUUACCUGCAGGACUGGGAUAACAGGGGGAAACUCCUGACAAGACCGGAUAAUGUCAUGGAGCUGCAUGGCUUUUUGAUGAAAGGAGACGCCUGCGGAGAGCCUUGCGUCCUAUUAGCUAGUUGGUGAGGUAAUGGCUCACCAAGGCGAAGAUAGGUAGCCGGCCUGAGAGGGUGGACGGCCACGAGGGGACUGAGAUGCGGCCGUUACUACUACGGGAGGCAGCAGUGGGGAAUAUUGGACAAUGGGGGCAACCCUGAUCCAGCAAUUCUGUGUGCACGAAGAAGGUUUUCGGAUUGUAAAGUGCUUUCAGCAGGGAAGAAGUAAGUGACGGUACCUGCAGAAGAAGCGACGGCUAAAUACGUG
rnacentral:rRNA from 1 species